CACGUAGGCACCAAGCGUUGUCCGGAUUUAUUGGGCGUAAAGAGCUCGUAGGCGGUUCGGUAAGUCGGGUGUGAAAACUUUGGGCUCAACCCAAAGCCUGCACUCGAUACUGCUGUGACUUGAGUCCGGUAGGGGAGUGGGGAAUUCCUGGUGUAGCGGUGAAAUGCGUAGAUAUCUGGAGGAACACCGGUGGCGAAGGCGGCAUCCUGGACCAACACUGACACUGAGGAGCGAAAGCCAGGGGAGCAAACGGG
rnacentral:rRNA from 1 species